rnacentral:rRNA from 1 species
AGGUUCGUAGGUGACCUGCGGAGGAUCAUUAAUGAAUUUUGAGAGGGGUUGUAGCUGGCCUUUUCGUCUGAGAGGCAUUUUGUGCACGCCCUGAUCAUCAUCCGUUUCACACCUGUGNACNCACUGUAGGUCGGCUUUCGGGGUGAAGUCUUAAUCNACUUUGCUUUGUUGCCUUCCUAUGUUUACCACAAACCACUCAGUUAAAAGAAUGUCUAUCGCGUGUAAUGCAUUAUAUACAACUUUCAGCANCGGAUCUCUUGGCUCUCGCAUCGAUGAAGAACGCAGCGAAAUGCGAUAAGUAAUGUGAAUUGCAGAAUUCAGUGAAUCAUCGAAUCUUUGAACGCACCUUGCGCUCCUUGGUAUUCCGAGGAGCAUGCCUGUUUGAGUGUCAUGGAAUUCUCAACUCUAUUCACUUUUGUGGAUAGAGCUUGGAUUUGGAGGUAUAUUGCCGGACUGCAUUGUGUGNCUGGCUCCUCUUGAAUGCAUUAGCUUGAGCCUUUGUGGAUCAGCUCCGGUGUGAUAAUUGUCUACGCCGUUCUGUGAAGCAUACUGNGGGUCUUGGCUCCUAAUCGNCCUUCAGUGGACAAUACGAUAUAUGGCCUUUGACCUCAAAUCAGGUAGGGUUACCCGCUGAACUUAANCAUAUCA